CGCGCAGGCGGGAAGACAAGUUGGAAGUGAAAUCUAUGGGCUCAACCCAUAAACUGCUUUCAAAACUGUUUUUCUUGAGUAGUGCAGAGGUAGGCGGAAUUCCCGGUGUAGCGGUGGAAUGCGUAGAUAUCGGGAGGAACACCAGUGGCGAAGGCGGCCUACUGGGCACCAACUGACGCUGAGGCUCGAAAGUGUGGGUAGCAAACA
rnacentral:rRNA from 1 species